GACGAACGCUGGCGGCGUGCUUAACACAUGCAAGUCGAACGAUGAAGCGGUGCUUGCACCGUGGAUUAGUGGCGAACGGGUGAGUAAUACGUGAGUGACCUACCUUUGACUCUGGGAUAAGCCUGGGAAACUGGGUCUAAUACCGGAUACGACCAAUCUCUGCAUGGGGUGUUGGUGGAAAGCGUUAUGGAGUGGUUUUAGAUGGGCUCACGGCCUAUCAGCUUGUUGGUGAGGUAAUGGCUUACCAAGGCGACGACGGGUAGCCGGCCUGAGAGGGUGACCGGCCACACUGGGACUGAGACACGGCCCAGACUCCUACGGGAGGCAGCAGUGGGGAAUAUUGCACAAUGGGCGCAAGCCUGAUGCAGCGACGCCGCGUGAGGGAUGACGGUCUUCGGGUUGUAAACCUCUGUUAGCAUCGAAGAAGCGAAAGUGACGGUAGGUGCAGAGAAAGCGCCGGCUAACUACGUG
rnacentral:rRNA from 1 species